UGAGAACAAAAUUAACAUUAAAAUGUUAUGCAUUAAAUCUACAUCACCGUUAGGCAAAAAUAGAGAUAACACAUAAGGCCAUAACUAUAACAUUGCAAUUAACAACGUUGGUCAGAAAAUUACAACAUCAUAGUACAGAAUUAAUGUUCCUAAAAUUAAAUUCUCCCGUUGGUUCGAAAUUUAAAUUUAGAAACACUAAUUUUUAUCAAUUUCAUCUAUUUGCAGCGGAAGAUCUAUAUAAAAUUCAUAUGAACAGUAGCAAAUUAUGUUAUUUACACUAUGUAAAAAUUACACCUUUGGUUCAAAAUUUAAACAGAGGUAAGGCAUGCAAAAUCGAUUAAAAAAUCUAUUGAAAUUUGCAUGAAAAUAGACAAAAUAAAAAGAAAGUCGCUACCGUUCCUUUUCUUCAUUUUGGCCCAUCAAAGAAGUCGGCCCAUCGCCGGGCGUGUGCGGGCGCCCCCCUCCCCCCAGGCCGCAACCUGGGCCUGGGCCUGAAAGCCGCCGCCGCGCGCCUCCCAUCUUGGGCUCAAUUUGGCCUGGCUGACGCCGGCCAUCCAAUCGCUAGGGUUUCGAUCGGAUGGCCAGGCGGAGAGAUCGGGCGGUAAAAUAAACCCGACCCCCAGCCGCCGGCCAAAAACCCUAGCCUCUCUUUUCUCUCUCGCGCACGACCGCGCGACGCGAAGGUCGCCGCCGCCGGCGACCUUCGCGUCGCCGCGCCUUGCACCGCCGGCGUCCGGGCAGCGCCUCGCCCCGCCGCCAUCUUUUCUCUUUCCCCUCACCAUCUCUAGCCCUCCACCCCUCUACCGAGUGAAGUGAGAGAGAGAGACGGCCGAACGAGAUGGCAGCGCCACCGCGGGCCCCCUCGCCGGCACGUGCGUGCACCCGCUGGUGCGCGCACGGCCGUCGAGGGGCUCCUUGACGACGCCCUGUGCCCUCCCCCAUUCCCCCUUUGCCGGCGUUGACGAUGGCCAGCGACGAGGGAUGCAAGAUAUCGAAGAUCGAUGGAAAUUGCUGCCGCCUACAAGGUGCAAGAAAUCAUCACAUCCGGCAUUUAAGUGUGUGAAAGACUGGUUCUGAUUUUUUUUUUUGCUUUGUUGUGUUUCUUCUCUGUGCCAUAGCUAGAAGCUAGACUGAAAACAACUAUGGUAUUUUUAGGCUUUUUUAUCUUAGUGAAUUCAUGUAAAAAUAUUUAGUUAUGGUUCUAUCCAGUUUUUGAUGGUUGUUCUUGAA